rnacentral:rRNA from 1 species
AUACGUAGGUGGCAAGCGUUGUCCGGAUUUACUGGGUGUAAAGGGCGUGUAGGCGGAGAUGCAAGUCAGGAGUGAAAUCUAGGGGCUCAACCCCUAAACUGCUUUUGAAACUGUAUCCCUUGAGUAUCGGAGAGGCAGGCGGAAUUCCUAGUGUAGCGGUGAAAUGCGUAGAUAUUAGGAGGAACACCAGUGGCGAAGGCGGCCUGCUGGACGACAACUGACGCUGAGGCGCGAAAGCGUUGGGAGCAAACAGGAUUAGAUACCCUGGUAGUCCACGCUGUAAACGAUGAAUACUAGGCGUGGGGGGACUGACCCCCUCCGUGCCGCAGUUAACACAAUAAGUAUUCCACCUGGGGAGUACGAUCGCAAGAUUGAAACUCAAAGGAAUUGACGGGG